UUAAAUUGAAGAGUUUGAUCAUGGCUCAGAUUGAACGCUGGCGGCAGGCCUAACACAUGCAAGUCGAGCGGUAGCACAGAGGAGCUUGCUCCUUGGGUGACGAGCGGCGGACGGGUGAGUAAUGUCUGGGAAACUGCCUGAUGGAGGGGGAUAACUACUGGAAACGGUAGCUAAUACCGCAUAACCUCGCAAGAGCAAAGAGGGGGACCUUAGGGCCUCUCGCCAUCAGAUGUGCCCAGAUGGGAUUAGCUAGUAGGUGAGGUAAUGGCUCACCUAGGCGACGAUCCCUAGCUGGUCUGAGAGGAUGACCAGCCACACUGGAACUGAGACACGGUCCAGACUCCUACGGGAGGCAGCAGUGGGGAAUAUUGCACAAUGGGCGCAAGCCUGAUGCAGCCAUGCCGCGUGUGUGAAGAAGGCCUUCGGGUUGUAAAGCACUUUCAGCGAGGAGGAAGGCGGUAAGGUUAAUAACCUUAUCGAUUGACGUUACUCGCAGAAGAAGCACCGGCUAACUCCGUGCCAGCAGCCGCGGUAAUACGGAGGGUGCAAGCGUUAAUCGGAAUGACUGGGCGUAAAGCGCACGCAGGCGGUCUGUUAAGUUGGAUGUGAAAUCCCCGGGCUUAACCUGGGAACUGCAUUCAAAACUGACAGGCUAGAGUCUUGUAGAGGGGGGUAGAAUUCCAGGUGUAGCGGUGAAAUGCGUAGAGAUCUGGAGGAAUACCGGUGGCGAAGGCGGCCCCCUGGACAAAGACUGACGCUCAGGUGCGAAAGCGUGGGGAGCAAACAGGAUUAGAUACCCUGGUAGUCCACGCUGUAAACGAUGUCGAUUUGGAGGUUGUGCCCUUGAGGCGUGGCUUCCGGAGCUAACGCGUUAAAUCGACCGCCUGGGGAGUACGGCCGCAAGGUUAAAACUCAAAUGAAUUGACGGGGGCCCGCACAAGCGGUGGAGCAUGUGGUUUAAUUCGAUGCAACGCGAAGAACCUUACCUACUCUUGACAUCCACAGAAUUUGGUAGAGAUACCUUAGUGCCUUCGGGAACUGUGAGACAGGUGCUGCAUGGCUGUCGUCAGCUCGUGUUGUGAAAUGUUGGGUUAAGUCCCGCAACGAGCGCAACCCUUAUCCUUUGUUGCCAGCGAUUCGGUCGGGAACUCAAAGGAGACUGCCGGUGAUAAACCGGAGGAAGGUGGGGAUGACGUCAAGUCAUCAUGGCCCUUACGAGUAGGGCUACACACGUGCUACAAUGGCGUAUACAAAGAGAAGCGACCUCGCGAGAGCAAGCGGACCUCAUAAAGUACGUCGUAGUCCGGAUUGGAGUCUGCAACUCGACUCCAUGAAGUCGGAAUCGCUAGUAAUCGUAGAUCAGAAUGCUACGGUGAAUACGUUCCCGGGCCUUGUACACACCGCCCGUCACACCAUGGGAGUGGGUUGCAAAAGAAGUAGGUAGCUUAACCUUCGGGAGGGCGCUUACCACUUUGUGAUUCAUGACUGGGGUGAAGUCGUAACAAGGUAACCGUAGGGGAACCUGCGGUUGGAUCACCUCCUUACC
rnacentral:rRNA from 1 species